UAUGUGGACUUUGCUUCUCACGUCACCUGUUUUCAUUGAUCUGAGUUUAUUCACUCUCUGCAUCAUCGGAAUCAAGAAGGUUACAAAGGCGAUCUUCAAAAAGUUAGUGCUGCAUUAUGGAUAGCAAACUAGAGAGUGCUCAGAGGGAGGCUGAGGAGGUGAAAGUCAUUAUGCUGGAAAAUGUAAACAACGCAGAAGAACGAGAAGGAAAUGUCAAGGAUCAGAGAGCUGAACAACUUCAGUCCACCAGUAAAACUGCAGCAAAGCUAAAAAGUUCAACAAAGCUGAAAGUGAACCAGAAGAUGGAGUACAUGCGGGCUAAUAAAGGACUUGUAAGCAUCCUAGUGGUCUCAGCUGCUAUUAUACUUGCUGUGGUGAUUGCCAUGCUUGCCACCAAAGACACAUAUGAGCACAGGCACUCAGUAGUAGAAAGUACCUUAGAAGAGCCAUAGCAUUAACUAUAGACUGGAACAAGAAGAGGACAAAUCACCAUGAACACACCAGAAUUGUUUGUUCAGGGGAGUAUAACUGAUUUUAUUACCACUUGGAAUUGCAAUUCACUGUAGAGGGGUCUUUUCAUUUGUAGACAGUUACAGGGUGGGGGGCAACAAUAGUUUGUACACUAAAAAAUAUAUAUUUUAGCCUAUUUUUAAGAUGUAUGAAUUCAUAACAAAAUUCCAUCUUAUUCAAUAGUGUAAUUUUAAACCAAAUUAAAUAAAUAAUAAUAAUAAUAAUUAUUAUUAUUAUUAUUAUUAUUAUUAUUAUUUUAAAGAUUAUUCAAAUUCAGUUUGAUUGAAGUUUGUCACGAAAUUUAAAUUCUUAAAUCUUUAAAAAAAAAAAAAUUGAGUGUAAUGUUUUAGGAUAUACAUAUUAUCUGAGCUGAGAUGAGAGUAAAAUCAAUUGUUAUAAAUAAUUUUAUGUAACUUUUUUAUAAUAUUUAGAAUUAAUUUCAUGGAAUCUGUUUAAACAUACUUAAAAAUUGUACACAAUCAUGCACAUUCAUGUUUAACUCAAAUUAUUGAGCAAAACUGUCAUGUAAAAUCCAAAACGUAUUUCAGUUUUAAUAACAUAUAGUAUAUAUGCCGGCGAAAAGGCAUAAAUGUUGACUAUUGAUUGUUUUAAAUAAUCUCAACUUUUUCUACAUUACAUAGUUCAAUCAACUUUUAAAAUUGAGUUUAUCUGACGAAAAUGAAGUUUGAUUUUUAACAGUGUGAACAUGACUAUACAGAAAAGGCUAUACAACUAAAGACUUGGUCCCCAUGAUAAUAGUGCUGAUAGUUUGGUAUGUAAACACAAGAAGAUUAAAAGCAAGGGCACUUUCUAAAGUCCAGUGCACAACAUCCCCUCUUUUUGUGCACUGUGCUGACAUCAGUGUUACAUGUGCUUACAAAUUAGAUUAAUAUAAAAGUUUAUUAUAAUAAACAUUAUUAUUUAAAAAUAUGAAUUUGUGAUAAUAAAAAUUCAUAUUUUGUCACUAUUUUUGACUUGGAAACCAAUUUAAGUUGUCAAAAAUGUUUUAUGAACUCAUACCACAAGGGCUGGUUGAAUCUCAUGUUUGGUUAUGCGGUAUGUAAAUUGGGAAGAAAGUUAAAGUCAUCAGUUGUGGUUCAUACCUUGAAAUCUAACUAAGCAUCUAUCCCUAAUCACUGUUUUCUCAGUCAAUUGCAAUGACGCAAUCAAUACAUUUUCAUUAAGAAUAUACUGGUCACACCUAACCUUAACUGAAUUGCAGUGUGUAUGAAAAGCUCCUUGCCAUGGCACUGGCAAAAAAUCUUUCAGGAGAACAUUUGUUGUAGUCAGUUGUAAUGAUUUCUUUACUCCCCUAAUGGCCAAAUCAGCACUGAUUGUUUUAUAGAUUUGUGUCUUUUUCUUGAAUUGCACUAUUUAUUGUAGAUAUGAAAGCUAAUUUUAACAUUUAACAGUAACCUUUAUCAUGUUCUAUUGGCAUAUUAUGUACUGUAAAUAAACUUUGAUGUCGGUAAAAACACAAAAUAAUGCAUCAGCGUGUCUACACAGAACUUGCCCUUCUCUGAAGUGACAUUUUUUAAAGUCAGUCAACAGAAACAUUCAACUGUAUUGUCUUUAUGAGAAAGCAAAAAGGUAAUAGAGAAGAAUAAAAACAUGGUGACUUCACAUGAGAAACUGAAGACCAAGAAAAGACUCAUGGGCGUUGUAGUGGUGUGUGACAAGGAGGGGGCGUGGCCAGGCCUUGAUGAUGCAAGCCUGGCGCUGAGUUGAAUAAUCAGCGGGAGAGAGAUAAGGAUGGCCAGAGAUGUCAGAUCGAGAGAGAGAUGCACGAAGCUGUGUGUGCCUUUGUUUGAUUUGCAUUUUAUGAUAUGUUUGAGUUCAGUUUGUUAUUAAAGUUUUACGUUGACUGUUCAGCUGAUUCCUGCCUCCUCCUUGCCCAUCUUAAGAACCUUGUUACAUUGAUGCCGAAACCCGGGAAGGAGGAGGGAUGCACUGUCGUGGAGUCCUCGCCGCUGCCGUCCACCAGGGGAUGGAGGAGUCGCUGCUGUCCGCCAGGAGCCGGAGGAACAGCUGCUGUCCGCAGGAGCCAGAGGAACAGCUGCCAUCCGCCAGGAGCCUGAGGAACCGCUGUCGUCCACCAGGGGACAGAGGAGUCGCUGCCGUCCGCUAGGAGCCAGAGGAACCGCUGCCAUCCACCAGGGGACGGAGGAAUGUGGCAAAUCAGGUUCUCAAUGUGGAAAGGAGGAAGCGGGGACCGGGUGAACAAUCCACGUCAGACAUUUAAUAAACACUUUUCAGUAUAUAACAAAACAAAAACACGCACUGCUUUUCAGACAGCUAUAGCUGUAUACAUAUAAACAAAGACACACACACACAUAGACAGGCUUUGUGCAUCUCUCUCUCUCUCGAACUGCAGCUCCAGCUCCACCUUAUCCCUCUCCCGGCUGAUUGUGAUCAUUCUCCCCCAACCGUCCCUCAUCGCUCGGCCACAUACAAACUGUUCCUUCCAUGUCUUCACGUGUCAAUUUUGACCCUUAUGGGUGAACCAGUUGUGACCUUUCAACUUCUGACUUUCUUAAUGUUAUACAGCUUUAAAUUGUUUUUGUACAUUUAUAAAUCAAAUUUGUCCUGAAAUAUUUUACAUUUUCUCAAAUUUUGCCCUAUACUGUUCUCUAGUUGUGCCACCUGCCUCACUGGGUACUACAUCUUUCACACAAAUUACAAAUCCCAAAGUGGGGCAGUGGUGGCUCAGUGGUUAAGGCUCUGGGUUACUGAUUAGAAGAUUGGGGGUUCAAGCCCCAGCAUUGCUAAGAUGCCACUGUUGGGCCCUUGACCCUGCCUGCUCCAGGGGUGCUGUAUCAUAGCUGACUCUGCACUCUGAACCCAGCUUAGCUGGGAUAUGUUGGGGAAAAAAAGAAUUUCACUGUAUAUGUGCAAAUGUAUAUGUGUGAUAAAUAAUUAUUAAUUAUACUUUUCUCUCAAAUGGGGUUUGUGCACACAUGCACAUGUCCAAAAACACAUACAGACAGAGUUUUUAUAGGUUUUAACAGAUAUGUUAGUAAAUAAGUUCAAUAAGAGUAACACUUUACAAUAAGGUUCCAUUCGUUAACAUUAGUUAAUGAAUGAGGUAUCAUGAACAAUCAAUUAACAAUAUAUAU